AGCCUCACUCACACUCAAUGAGUGUGGAGGUUCAAUUUCAUUACUUAUAGAUUAGUACGACACUAAUCCUCCAACUAUUCAUAAACAGCAUUGACACUCAAGAGAAGCUCAGAUUGAACCUCCACACUCAUUGAGUGUGAGUGAGC